ensembl:snRNA U6 U6 spliceosomal RNA
GUGCUCGCUUCGGCAGCACAUGUACUAAAAUUGGAAUGAUACCAGGAAGAUUAGCAUGGCUUCUGUGCAAGGGUUAAUCAUGAAUAUGCAAGUAGGUUAUAGCAGUU